rnacentral:misc_RNA from 1 species
GUCGACAUUAUAUUUCCGACAAAGUUUAUCGUCAUAUCAUUGGCUCUCUUUCAAAAAUCUCAACAAGUCAAAGAAAGAUAAGUUUUAAUUAAAAAUAUAUAUACACAGUGUAUAUAUACAAAAAUGGAAUUAGGAGAAAGAGUUGAGGGCUCAGAAGGAUCCAUUGGUGAUUUUCUAAUCACAAGGGAAUCAAUUCCCUCAUAAAAUAGGUAGUUCUCAAC